AAAAAAAAGGGAGAAAGGGAUUUUUCUCUCUGGGGAAGCCCAGAAACCGGCCAGGAAAGCCACCGCGCCGUCACAGCUCCACCGCGCCGGCCACCGUACACGGUGGCCGGAAAUCGCCUUAGGUAAAAAAAAUUUCUCUCUUUUUUUGUAUUUUAUUAUACGCAUACAUAGAUGAGUGUAAAUCUGAAGAUAAAAAGAAACGAGAAAAUAUUAGAGACCUUGACUUGUUUUGCCGUUGUUCUCUUCUUCUUUCUCUUUUUUGCUAGUAGCGUUUCCGAUUUUAGGGCGUUUAAAUUUCCCCUUUUUGAUGUUUGAUCUAUGCUACUUAUGAGGUUUUAGCUUUUGUAUAUUGGUUGUUGAAAUCUUUUUUUGAGAUUUUUCGAAUUUUACACUGCUC
rnacentral:lncRNA from 1 species